rnacentral:rRNA from 1 species
AGAGUUUGAUCCUGGCUCAGGAUGAACGCUGGCGGCGUGCUUAACACAUGCAAGUCGAACGAAGCACUUAAGAUUGAUUCUUCGGAUGACGUCUUUUGCGACUUAGUGGCGGACGGGUGAGUAACGCGUGGGUAACCUGCCUCACACAGGGGGAUAACAGUUAGAAAUGACUGCUAAUACCGCAUAACCCGAUAGGAUCGCAUGAUCCAGACGGAAAAGAUUUAUCGGUGUGAGAUGGACCCGCGUCUGAUUAGCUAGUUGGUGAGGUAACGGCCCACCAAGGCGACGAUCAGUAGCCGGCCUGAGAGGGUGAACGGCCACAUUGGGACUGAGACACGGCCCAAACUCCUACGGGAGGCAGCAGUGGGGAAUAUUGCACAAUGGGGGAAACCCUGAUGCAGCGACGCCGCGUGAGUGAAGAAGUAUUUCGGUAUGUAAAGCUCUAUCAGCAGGGAAGAAAAUGACGGUACCUGACUAAGAAGCCCCGGCUAACUACGUGCCAGCAGCCGCGGUAAUACGUAGGGGGCAAGCGUUAUCCGGAUUUACUGGGUGUAAAGGGAGCGUAGACGGCACGGCAAGCCAGAUGUGAAAGCCCGGGGCUCAACCCCGGGACUGCAUCUGGAACUGCUGAGCUAGAGUGUCGGAGAGGCAAGUGGAAUUCCUAGUGUAGCGGUGAAAUGCGUAGAUAUUAGGAGGAACACCAGUGGCGAAGGCGGCUUGCUGGACGAUGACUGACGUUGAGGCUCGAAAGCGUGGGGAGCAAACAGGAUUAGAUACCCUGGUAGUCCACGCCGUAAACGAUG